UACAUGGGGUGCAAACGUUGCUCGGAAUUAUUGGGCGUAAAGAGCUCGUAGGUGGUUCGGUAAGUCGGAUGUGAAAUCUCCAGGCUCAACCUGGAGGGGUCAUUCGAUACUGCCGUGACUAGAGUUCGGUAGGGGAGUGUGGAAUUCCUGGUGGAGCGGUGAAAUGCGCAGAUAUCAGGAGGAACACCCGUAGCGAAGGCGGCACUCUGGGCCGAUACUGACACUGAGGAGCGAAAGCGUGGGGAGCGAACAGG
rnacentral:rRNA from 1 species